AUUGAACGCUGGCGGCAGGCCUAACACAUGCAAGUCGAACGGUAGCACAGAGAGCUUGCUCUCGGGUGACGAGUGGCGGACGGGUGAGUAACGUCUGGGAAACUGCCCGAUGGAGGGGGAUAACUACUGGAAACGGUAGCUAAUACCGCAUAACGUCGCAAGACCAAAGUGGGGGACCUUCGGGCCUCACACCAUCGGAUGUGCCCAGAUGGGAUUAGCUAGUAGGUGGGGUAAUGGCUCAACUAGGCGACAAUCCCUAGUUGGUCUGAGAGGAUGACCAGCCACACUGUAACUGAGACACGGUCCAGAAGCCUACGGGAGGCAGCAGUGGAGAAUAUUGCACAAUGGGCGCAAGCCUGAUGCAGCCAUGCCGCGUGUAUGAAGAAGGCCUUCGGGUUGUAAAGUACUUUCAGCGGGGAGGAAGGCGGUGAAGUUAAUAACUUCACCGAUUGACGUUACCCGCAGAAGAAGCACCGGCUAACUCCGUGCCAGCAGCCGCCGCAG
rnacentral:rRNA from 1 species